GACGAAGGGGGCUAGCGUUGUUCGGAAUUACUGGGCGUAAAGCGAGUGUAGGCGGUUAUCCAAGUCAGGUGUGAAAGCCUUGAGCUCAACUCAAGAAAUGCACUUGAUACUGGGUGACUAGAGGACCGGAGAGGAUAGUGGAAUUCCCAGUGAUAGUGGUGAAAUACGUAGAGAUUGGGAAGAACACCAGUGGCGAAGGCGGCUAUCUGGACGGUUACUGACGCUAAGACUCGAAAGCGUGGGGAGCGAACAGG
rnacentral:rRNA from 1 species